GUACUUGCUUUGGCAGUGCAUAUACUGAAUUUGGAAUGAUAUGGAGAAGAGUAACAGGGCCCCUGCACAAGAAUGACAUACAGAUAUGUGAGGAAUUACCUAUUUAA
ensembl:snRNA U6 U6 spliceosomal RNA